AGUGAACGCUGGCGGUAGGCCUAACACAUGCAAGUCGAACGGCAGCACAGUAGAGCUUGCUCUUCCGGGUGGCGAGUGGCGGACGGGUGAGGAAUACAUCGGAAUCUACUUUUUCGUGGGGGAUAACGUAGGGAAACUUACGCUAAUACCGCAUCCGACCUACGGGUGAAAGCAGGGGAUCUUCGGACCUUCCGCGUUUGAAUGAGCCGAUGUCGGAUUAGCUAGUUGGCGGGGUAAAGGCCCACCAAGGCGACGAUCCGUAGCUGGUCUGAGAGGAUGAUCAGCCACACUGGAACUGAGACACGGUCCAGACUCCUACGGGAGGCAGCAGUGGGGAAUAUUGGACAAAGGGCGCAAGCCUGAUCCAGCCAUACCGCGUGGGUGAAGAAGGCCUUCGGGUUGUAAAGCCCUUUUGUUGGGAAAGAAAAGCAGCAGGUUAAUACCCCGCUGUUCUGACGGUACCCAAAGAAUAAGCACCGGCUAACUUCGUG
rnacentral:rRNA from 1 species